rnacentral:rRNA from 1 species
CCUACGGGUCGCAGCAGUGGGGAAUAUUGCACAAUGGGCGCAAGCCUGAAGCAGCCAUGCCGCGUAUAUGAAGAAGGCCUUCGGGUUGUAAAGUACUUUCAGUGGGGAGGAAGGCGAUAAGGUUAAUAACCUUGUCGAUUGACGUUACCCGCAGAAGAAGCACCGGCUAACUCCGUGCCAGCAGCCGCGGUAAUACGGAGGGUGCAAGCGUUAAUCGGAAUUACUGGGCGUAAAGCGCACGCAGGCGGUCUGUCAAGUUGAAUGUGAAAUCCCCGGGCUCAACCUGGGAACUGCAUUCGAAACUGGCAGGCUAGAGUCUUGUAGUGGGGGGUAGAAUUCCAGGUGUAGCGGUGAAAUGCGUAGAGAUCUGGAGGAAUACCGGUGGCGAAGGCGGCCCCCUGGACAAAGACUGACGCUCAGGUGCGAAAGCGUGGGGAGCAAACAGGAUUAGAUACCCUCGUAGUC